UCUCAAUUGUACUGCCAUAGUUUUCAAUACAAACAGUCUCCUUUAUCUUAUGGCAGAGGUCCGGCUGUGCUAGGUCCAUCGGAGCCACUAUAGCUUUUAUCAUGCCAUUACACUUUGUACUGACCAUCCUCCAAACAGGCAUCAUCUUUUGUUUACACCUUUAUCUCUGCAUCUCAGAGGUCACCUGAAACAAGCCCCACACCUAUAUAAAAAAAACGCCCUAAUCAAACACCCUGUAUUUUUCCUCACUACUUUACAUCGGUCAUUGAGAGCAUAACACUUCGUUCACCAGCACGGACAACAACCCUAAGAGCGUUCUUUUUAACAUGGACAGCAUGUAUGGUAGGUAAAACAGGACUAUUAACGGAUUCUUAAAUUUAUACAAUUGCAUAUCAAAAAAUAUUCAAACUGUUUUCUCUUCUAAACAAAAGCCUGAUUUUUAGGAACUUGGUACACUGGGACACCCCACGCGGCACUUACACAAGGAUCACAAAGCUAUAUAGGGCAAACAACACCUCUAACUAAGGAGUGCAGGAUGACGUCGGCAUCAACCAUGACGAACAGCCAGAACAUCGCCCAAGCCACAGAAGCUCUAGAGCGAGACAUGCAAGCGUGGGACCUCUCAGACUCCCCACCGCCUGCGCUGCUAAUCCAGACCCCACCACAUC